UACGUAGGGUGCAAGCGUUAAUCGGAAUUACUGGGCGUAAAGCGUGCGCAGGCGGUUUUGUAAGUCAGAUGUGAAAUCCCCGGGCUUAACCUGGGAACUGCGUUUGAAACUACAAGGCUAGAGUGUGGCAGAGGGGGGUGGAAUUCCACGUGUAGCAGUGAAAUGCGUAGAGAUCGGGAGGAACACCAGAGGCGAAGGCGGCGACCUGGACAAGUACUGACACUCAACUACGAAAGCGUGGGGAGCAAACAGG
rnacentral:rRNA from 1 species